UACGGAGGAUGCGAGCGUUAUCCGGAAUUAUUGGGCGUAAAGAGCGCGCAGGUGGUUGAUUAAGUCUGAUGUGAAAGCCCACGGCUUAACCGUGGAGGGUCAUUGGAAACUGGUCGACUUGAGUGCAGAAGAGGGAAGUGGAAUUCCAUGUGUAGCGGUGAAAUGCGUAGAGAUAUGGAGGAACACCAGUGGCGAAGGCGGCUUCCUGGUCUGUAACUGACACUGAGGCGCGAAAGCGUGGGGAGCAAACAGGAUUAGAUA
rnacentral:rRNA from 1 species